rnacentral:siRNA from 1 species
AAACCGCAGGUUAAAUCCUAGUUA